CGGGAAACUGGGGAUAAUACCAGAUAGAUAAAAGAUACUGGAAUGUUCUUUUAUCCAAAGCUUUUGUGCCUGAGGAUGAGCCUGCGCCCGAUUAGGUAGUUGGUGGGGUAAUGGCCCACCAAGCCUGCGAUCGGUACGGGCAGUGGGAGCUGUAGCCCGGAGUUGGGGACUGAGACAAGGCCCCAGGCCCUACGGGGCGCAGCAGGCGCGAAACCUCUGCAAUGCGGGAAACCGUGACAGGGGGAUUCCAAGUGCUCAUGCAUGGCAUGGGCUGUGCUUUGGUCUAAGUAACCAGAGGAGUAAGGGCUGGGCAAGACCGGUGCCAGCCGCCGCGUAACA
rnacentral:rRNA from 1 species